rnacentral:lncRNA from 1 species
AUGAACCUGCUCAGAGUGGAGAACAAGGAGCACAUGCAUGCCCAAAGAUGCAGGUCACUACGCCUGCCUCGCCACCAGCUUGCUUGGUUCAAGUGCAGUUUGUUCUUCUCUGUUGACAAGCCAAGUGGACAUUGCAGUUUCCCUCAUCCUGCUGAAGAUCCCUUGGCAAGAGUGAUGGAGAAGCAGAGACUCCAAAGCCAGGAUCUGGCUGCAGACUGCUCAUUCAAGGAGAGCAUCCUGCUUUGCACUGGAACAAGAAGUCUCCCCAGCUCUGAUCCAGAAUUUGAGGAUCCAGAGGGUAGAGCCUGCUGCCAGGCACUGCGAGCCCAGCCCAGCCAGUCCCGUGUCUAGCAUGGUAUCUGUGGAUCCAGCAGAGCUGCCUGGGGACUUACAGCUUACUCAUCACGAAUGCAGACAUCAGCAUGAGAGCCCUAAACCAAGGGCUCC